rnacentral:lncRNA from 1 species
GGGUACUGGGCAUUACUGAGCUGAGCAGUUGGGAGUAUCAACAUCAUGAACCGGGCUUUCAGCAGGAAGAAAGACAAAACAUGGAUGCAUAUGCCUGAAGCCUUAUCAAAACAUUACGUUCCCUAUAAUGCAAAGUUUCUUGGCAGUACUGAAGUGGAGCAGCCAAAGGGAACAGAAGUUGUGAGAGAUGCUGUCAGGAAGCUGAAGUUUGCAAGACACAUCAAGAAAUCUGAAGGCCAGAAGAUUCCUAAAGUUGAAUUGCAAAUAUCAAUUUAUGGAGUGAAAAUUCUCGAACCAAAAACAAAGGAAGUUCAACACAACUGCCAGCUUCAUAGAAUAUCAUUUUGUGCAGAUGAUAAAACCGACAAGAGGAUUUUCACCUUCAUAUGCAAAGAUUCUGAGUCAAACAAACAUUUGUGUUUUGUGUUUGACAGCGAAAAGUGUGCUGAAGAAAUUACAUUAACAAUUGGCCAAGCAUUUGACUUAGCAUACAGGAAAUUUCUAGAAUCUGGAGGAAAAGAUGUGGAAACAAGAAAACAGAUUGCUGGAAUGCAGAAAAGAAUCCAAGACUUAGAAACAGAAAAUAUGGAACUUAAAAAUAAAGUACAAGAUUUAGAAAACCGGUUGAGAACAACUCAAGUGUCCUCGACUCCAGCUGGUGGUGUGACAGUGACUUCUCCUUCCACUGACAUCUUUGACAUGAUUCCAUUUUCCCCAAUAUCACACCCGUCUCCAACCUCUGCUGGCAAUGGCACACAGCUACCACCCAUACCUAGCAGAUCUUCAGAGAUCAAACGGGACCUUUUUGGAGCUGAACCUUUUGACCCAUUUAACUGUGGAGCAGGGGACUUUCCUCCUGAUAUUCAGUCCAAAUUGGAUGAGAUGCAGGAGGGGUUCAAAAUGGGACUAACUCUUGAAGGAACAGUAUUUUGUCUCGACCCAUUAGACAGCAGGUGCUGACAUCACAAAUGAGUGAUCCUGACAUACUUAUUUUGUUUAUAUACAUAUAUAUCAUUCAUUAUUUUAAGACAGCUAUUAUACUUGUGCCAAUAUAUUUUUGAAUAUAUAAAUGUUUUUAGAUUUGUUGAAGUAACAUUCUCCUCAAUUUCACUGUUGAUUUAUCUUUUAUUUUAAACAGGACUCAGUAUAAUGUAUAUUGGACUUUUAUGUUUCCUUCUUUGUUAUUGGUAAAUUUGUAAUUGAAAGGCAAGUUUCAUAAAUGUCUGCCUUAUUUGCAUUUUAAAUUAUCAUUACCUUGACAUUUAAGCUCAUCCUCAGGAUAUUAGUUCAUUAUCAUUGUCCCAAAACGCCAUACCUAGAUAUCUUCCAAAGACCUGAAGAGACAGGCCAAUAUACAUGCUCUAUUUUGACACCAAUAAACAGGCUACCAGUUUUUAGCUGUAUGCUAUUUGUGAUUAAAAAGUUUGCCUCAUUAUGAAAGUCUAAAUUUUAGCUAUUACGCUACCAGCUUACUAAAUUCUAUCUGGUAAAAUAAGAAAAUAGGUUUUAGUAGUAAUCACAUAAACAUAUUUAGAAUAUUGGUAAAUAUAAAAUAAUAUCAGUCAUUCAAGUUAUAUUAUGCAAAUGUUUAAUUUGUCUCAAAAGUAACAAUUGAAAAAUUGCUUCCUUGGAAAACUUAAAAAUUCAUUUCUAAUAUGCACUCUGGGUUAGCCUCUGCUCCAGUAUUUUAAGAAAUGAAGUUUUUGCUUUCUGCAGAUGUAAUGCCUAUUGCCUGUGCUUAUGUAACCAAUAUUCUGCAGUUAUCAUGUGACGUGGCAUUACUCUCACCCAUCUUAUGCAUCAAUGCCACAUUAGUUUUUAUAUCUUAAAAUUUUGGUGGGGUAUUUUACUUAAAUUUAAGAAAAUUCAACAAUUUUAAUUUUUAUUUGCUUUAAGUCAGAAUUUCAUUUUUCCACACAAAACAAAACUCAUCAUCUUCGUCUUGACUAUGAGCAAUAAAACUUUCCAGAACUCAUUCUGAUGUACUAAUGAACCUGUCCUUUGAACGUAUAUGCUUCCAAAAUAUUUCCCCACGAUGUAAAAUACUACCAGUGCAGAAAAAAAAUGACUGUCGAAAGUUCUAAUUUGGUUUAUCACAAAGAAGGAAAAUAAAGUAAUGAAAAUCUGGGCUUAGUUUGUGAGAAUUUUACCAAAACUAAGUAGAUAUGUUUACUGCCGGAGACUUAUGGAAGUGUUACAGGUACCUUUUCAGUAGAAGCAGAACAGAAAUCAAUGGGCUUACACAACUUUCUGUUUGAAUGAUUAUGCUCUAUGACAUACAUGAGCCUUCCUGCUGACGUUCUGUUACACCUGCUAAGUUAAACCUUAAUUAGCAGGUACUGUGUGUUUCAUCAGAAACUCUUUGAAGUUCUUGAUUCUCAACUAGUACUUUGGAAUUUGUAUAAUGAGGAUGUUUAGAGGCCAUCUAUAUGGCUUUUUUAACAGAUAGAAUUUGUAUUUUUCUUGUACUUUUAAAGGCUUUAUGUAAUAGAUAUGUAUUUAGCAAACAUUUAGUAUCAAUUGUAACACGAUAGAAUACUAAGAUGAUAUUUGCACAUUUACUGUAUGUUACUUACCUGUUUUUAAUGGUGAUCUGUUCUGCUACUGGCAUGAUCAAAUAAUACAUAAAAUUGGUCAUUAAUAUGAACAUUUACUUCACCAGUGAAUUUUUAAUGAAGACAUGAUUGGAAAUUUAAUUUCUAUGUAAACUCAACGAUAUGUUUGAUUUUGCUGAAAAUAAAGGAUUUUAAAUAAAUU